UUCUUUUUAGGUAUGAAAGGGACUAUCAUUGUUAUUGUUUAUUAGUUAUUAGGAGAGGAGCAGGUGAGAUAGGGAAGUAAUAGGGUCUGAUCAGAUGGGGCCCUUCCUUGUGAGACCCUUGAAAGGCUUUCAUUUUUACUGUGAGUGACAAGGAUUGUGAGGAGAAGGGUGACAUGAUUGGAAUUACAUUUCAGAAGCAUCCAUUUGGCCGCUGAGUUUCUAACUCACUAUUGAGGGAAGGGUAAAACCUGAAAGACCAAUUUGAAAUCGAUGAAGUAAUCCAGGCAAGGGAUGAUGCAGGCCUAGACCAAAAUAGUUGCUGUACAAAUGCCAUGAAAUGCUCAUAUUUGGGAUAUGGAUUGAAGGUGGGAGCAAAAAAAUUUACUGACGGACUAGAUAUCUGUCCUUAGAGAAGAGAGGACCCUGGAUAUUUUCAAGACUUUUACCCUAAACUACUAAAAAGUUAGCAUUGCUAUAAAAUAAGAUCAGAAAGACUGCAGCAAAACAGGUAUAGGGAAAGAUCAGAUUUUCAGUUCAGAAGAUUUUGAAGGUGGACUAUUAGCCAUUUACGUGGUGAUUUUCUCUAGGUAGCUGGAUAUAGGAAUUUUGAGUUUGAGGGGCAGUUCUGUCUGGGAGAUUUAAAUGUAUGAAACAUCACUUAACAGUGUAUUCAUAAAUCAUUAUUUAGGUGAAACUACAUAAAGAUAAAAGAGGAUGCACUGAACCUGAUGGUACUUUCCUGUAUAAUUGAGAAAAGGUGGAAUAAGCAGAAGACCAAGGGACGCAUUGGAAGGAGGAGAACCAUGUAAUGGAAGCCAAGUGAAGACAGUGUUUCCCAGUGCUGUCUGUCUAGUCAGAUUGGAGUAAACUGAAUUCACUGCCUUGAAAUCUUCUGGCCAACUCAAGAUACAGUUGAAUUAAUUGAAUACAGCCAUGCACCGGUCAUAAUGGUAUUUUGGUCAAGGAUGGAUUGCAUGUACAACAGUGGUAUUAUAAGGGCAACUUCGUGUCCGGCAAGCCGCAUUCAUGGUAAGUGCCCUGUCCAGGUGUGCCAUUUUUUAUCUUUUCUACCAUAUUUUUACUGUUCAUUUUCCAUGUUUAGGUAUGUUUAGAUACAUAAGUACUUACUAUUGUGUUCCAAUUGCUCACAGUAUUUAGUAGAGGAACCUGCUGUGCAGAUUUGUAGCCUGGGAGUAAUAGGCUAUACCAUAUACUAGGUGUGUAGCAGGCUUGUGUAAGUACACUCUGUGUAGUUUGCACAAUGACAAAAUUGUCUGAGGACACUUUUCUCAGAGCAUAUCCUCAUCAUUAAGCGACGCAUGAUUAUACUUGAGUUGUAGAAUGCUGAUUACAUCAUUUGCCUUGAUCUUAAAAGCUCACUGAAACUUCCUAUUCUUUCAGGAGUUAUAUCCAUUUUUUUUCAAUCAAAACAUGAAAUACUCCAUCAGUCUGUCUCCGAAUUAACUAUAUUGUCUGCUCUGUUUCCUUAAAAUGAACAUAUUUUCAACUCACUGCUUCAGCCAGCCUUAGUCUUUGCUUAAGCAAUUUUUUUCCCAAUCUCUAUUCCAAUUGUAGCCAUAUUUCUUUUCAAGUCUUUCAUUAGGAGACAUUUUUUCCUUAGAAUUAAUCACAUUAUUUCCUAUUUCUGCCUCAGUGUUUAAAAACUUACUAUCUACAGAGUUUAUUGUACUUCACUGUGUAUAACUAAAUUAUAGCUAUAGCAUUUUAAUCCACUCACACCUACUAUAACACCUUAAGAAAUUGAACUUUUGGGCCGGGUGCAGUGGUGGUUCACACCUGUAAUCACAGCACUUUGGGAGGCUGAGGCGGGCGAACCACCUGAGGUCAGGAGUUCGAGACCAGCCUGGCCAACGUGGUGAAACCCCAUCUCUACUAAAAAUACAAAAAUUAGCCAGACAUGGUGGCAGGUGCCUGUAAUCCCAGCUACUCAGGAGGCUGAGGCAGGAGAAUCACUUGAACCCAAGAGGUGGAGGUUGCAGUGAGCUGAGAUUGCACCACUGCACUCCAGCCUGGGUGACAAGAGCGAAACUCCAUCUCUCAAAGAAAAAAAUAAAUAAACUUCUAGUGUGUAACAGGGAGUUAUUGAGAAAUUCAAAUAGGCAAUGAUGUUUGAGGUUUUUGAAAUGUGAGUGUAGAAGCGGUAUAGUGUUUGGAUUGGAGGAGGGAUAGACUGGACUCGUGGAGGCCAGUUAGCACAGGACUGAAAUAGUAUUGUCAAGAAAUGAUUAUCCCUGAAUUACAGAAAUAGCAGUAGGAGUUGAAAAAUACUGACAACAUUUGGGACAUGUUCAAAACAUUAAAUAUUUUUCUCUAUUAUUCUAGCAGGCUAGAAAACAUGACAAGUGAAAAUUUCCCCUCUAGAGUCCCUUUUCGUCACCUCUACUCUACUAUUGCUGGUUUCACAUACAUCUUAUAGAUUGAGGGAGUCAGGCUGGGUGGGGAGACUGGUUUCUUUUCUGGCUUUCUAAUUCUGCUGUAUAUCCUGCAAUGGCUUAAUUUCUGGUUGCUGGCUUCACAUUGAACAAAGUCCCUGUGACUAGGCCAUUUUCUGGGCGCAGAAAGACAAAAAGGAACUUGGUUCUUCUCCCUAGACUCAGCACUGCAACAUCCUUGAUGACAUCUAUCUAAUGGCCUUAUUUUUUCAACCUUGUUUUUUAUGACCAAGCUUCAGUUGCUAGACACAUUUAAGACUUGUAGGAACAGAAUUUGUCUUCUUGCUUCCAGGAAAACAGGUGCCUGUAAUCCCAGCUACUCGGGAGGCUGAGGCAGGAGAAUCACUUGAACCCAAGAGGUAGAGGUUUUCCUCUCCUGGUUUCUUCAAGACUUUAUUUCUAUUUCAAUUCCAACACCCUGUGCACUGGAACUCUACUGCUGAACAAUAAUGCCUGUGCUGUUCUCCAGACACAGGCCCUUAUUUUUGCAUUUCACAGUAACUCUUCCAUGAUAAUUGCAAGGUCAGAUUUUCUGGUCAUUAUCUGCUACUGACUUGUAUUUAUUUCUUCACUUGUGUGUUCAAAUAUGUUCAGUUAUCAAAAACCUAUUUUGUAUAAAUUACUCCACUGGCAUCAAGGAAAGCAUGCAUAGAAAUAAAAAAAAUUCCCUGCCCUCAGUAAACUUACACACUAGAAGAGUUGACUGAAAGUUGGUUUCACUGCCUUUCCAUUCUGACCUGUGAGAGAUUACCAUACAUUCUUCACUCUAAGUUCUUCUAUGAAAAAAUUACAUACACAAUACAUAAAAUGGAAUUUUUUACAUAACAAUGGAAAUAGAGAAAGUAGAAUAAAAAAGUAGAAGCUUUCUCCACUCCCAGAUACAUAUACAAACAUACCUGUUCUUUGUAGAAAGAACCAUCAUGAAGAAUUUCAUAUGUCCCCCUACACUACUUUUUAUUUGGCUUGAAAAAGUAUAUAUUUAUGUAUAUUAAAGCAUAUACAUUUUUAUACAUAAAUUUAUAUUACUAUAGAGCAAUUCUACUUAAAGCAUGCUUUCAGAUUUAAAUGAAUCUUGGUUCUAGAUACCUUCUCUUACUUAGAUUUUGCAAUAUUUUAAAGAUAAUCAAAUAAGGCAGUGCCACCUAAUUUCUAAAAAGCUAAUACCAGUUCUAAAUUAUGUGCGAACACUAUUCUAAUAUAAAAUACACAUUAAGCCAAACUCAAAAACUCUACCUCUUAAAUUAUGAAUGUGUGAUGCUGGUUAACCAGAUGGUUUUUCCAUUGAUUUGAACUCAAAGAAAUUAUCUAUGUAAAGUGGCUUAAAA
rnacentral:lncRNA from 1 species